CGCGGUCCAUAUGGUAGAGCUGAUAGAACGCAUAUGUUAUCCCAUUUAGAACACACAUCAACCAAGCAUCCAUCAGAUCAUCGAUCUCAAGUCCAUGGACAAGCACAAGAGUCGCACGCGUGCAGCAGCCUUGCUGCUCCCUCUGCUGUUUCUCGCGUGUUUUCCCCUUUACGCUCAAUGCCGCCUCAUCGAGGGCAUGGACGGCGACAAGAUCAAUAUACCGGGCGGGCUCUGCGUCCAUCAUAAAGACUGCAAACCGGGCAAUUGUUGCUACUGGUGCCUAGUGCUGGAUCUGUGCUAUGCAUCAAUCGACGAGUGCAAGAAAGAGUGCAAAGGCCACGUCGAUGCGCGCCUCUUUAACCUUCCGUCGCCUUCAAAUUGAGUUCCUUGAUCUUGAACCGGCAACCCAUUCGAGCAAGACUAGUGGUCUAAUUUGUUGUAUUCUUUUGAAGCCGCCGGUAGUUGUUCUAAUAAUAAGAAUAUAUAUCUCAACUCGAUUCGUUUCAA